UCAUCAAGGAUUGGCUUCUUAGAGAGCAUGAGGAUCACUUUGAUUUGUGGUUUAUAACAUGUGAAACCAGGCUGUAUUUCCUGAACAUCUCCAGUCAGCAUGUAUUAUGUGGACUGAAAUCUAAAAAAGCUAUAUGAGGGAGGCAUAAAGUGCUUGUUCCAGUUUGUUCUUCCAGCUGGAUAGUUUAACUGUGACUCACUCUUUCUUCAUCUAUACUGCAAGAUAAGAAGGGAAGCAACAGGAAUACUAGGGUUGUUAGAACACAAAUGUUCGUGCAUUUUGAUGAAGACAUUUCACCAGCACAUGACACAGUCGCUAAAAAUCUGCAUUUACAGCUCUACAACUAAAGAUGCGAUAAAUAUUAUUUAAAUAUAUUUUAAUUGUACUAAUUUUAUAUUUUUGAAUUAAAAUGCAUAUCUGAAUACUAUAUAGAUUAUGUG
rnacentral:lncRNA from 1 species